GCUGGUCUCCUGGGCCCAAGUGAUCCACUGGCUUCAGCCUCCCAAAGGGCGUGAGCUGCCGUGUCUGGCUCAGUCUGUGGAGUUCUGUAUGGCAGCAGAAAAUGGACUAAAAUGCAGUGCAGAGAUGUGCCCACGCAGAGCCCUUCAGCUCAGUGCCACCAAAUGAACCCGUCAUGACUUUCCCCAGCCUGGAACCACAGGAGACCCACAGGAAAGAUGGCCCUGCUCUCCAGGGCUCGCCGGAUUCUUGGUUCCCAUUGUGGAAGAGAUGGGCAGCCAACACGUCAGUUCCUGGACUUCUUCCCCGUGCCUGGUGCCGGGAGCGCAGGUGCUCCAGGAGUGUUUGUUCACCGAGUUGUUACUGAAUGCUGCAGAGCCCUGCUCCACACUGCUUCCUAGCUCUGGCAUUUGGGAGCCUGAUGACAGCCCUGCCCCUGAAGACAGCAGCCGGGACAAUGUCAGCCUGAGGAGUUAGCUGGGUGGCCCUGGCUCUGAUGCUGCUGCUCUGUGCACUCGGCCCUUCUCCUGCAUAGUCGGGCCCAGGGCAGGGCACGCUAGGAGGAGGACUGCAAUUACUGCAGUGGGGAGGACUCGGGGCAGGCCUGCGAAGGAGGCAGGGGAAGCAAGGCCAGCGGAGGUGGUGAUGAUGCAGGGCUGAGGGGGGCCUUCUUCCCUGUUGAAGAAGGUGACCUCACUUGUCAGGAGUGGAGGGCUGAGGAGCAGCUGGGGCCUGUUGUGCUGCUGGAGGGAACCAGGGCCUGCAAGGGUGCAGAAGGAAGUCUAUAGGCCCUGAGGCCCAGCGCAUGACCAGGACCUGAGGAUGACCUCAGAUGAUCCAACCACCUUGGCCUCCCAAAGU